rnacentral:sRNA from 1 species
CCUCCAGUUACCGACCGAUUACCUUGC